UAACGCGAAAGAAACUUACCAGGACUUGACAUGGGGAGGCUGUGUCCAGAGAUGGGCAUUUCCCGCAAGGGACCUCCUGCACAGGUGCUGCAUGGCUGUCGUCAGCUCGUGUCGUGAGAUGUUGGGUUAAGUCCCGCAACGAGCGCAACCCUCGCCUUUAGUUGCCAGCAUGUUUGGGUGGGCACUCUAGAGGAACUGCCGGUGACAAGCCGGAGGAAGGUGGGGAUGACGUCAAGUCCUCAUGGCCCUUAUGUCCUGGGCUACACACGUGCUACAAUGGCGGUGACAGUGGGAAGCUAUGUGGCGACACAAUGCUGAUCUCUAAAAGCCGUCUCAGUUCGGAUUGCACUCUGCAACUCGAGUGCAUGAAGGUGGAAUCGCUAGUAAUCGCGGAUCAGCAUGCCGCGGGAAUAUGACGU
rnacentral:rRNA from 1 species